rnacentral:rRNA from 1 species
ACGCUAGCGAUAGGCUUAACACAUGCAAGUCGAGGGGCAGCAUGGUCUUAGCUUGCUAAGACUGAUGGCGACCGGCGCACGGGUGCGUAACGCGUAUGCAACUUGCCUCACAGAGGGGGAUAACCCGUCGAAAGACGGACUAAUACCGCGUACACUCCACUUUGGGCAUCCAAAGUAGAGGAAAUGAAAUUCGCUGUGAGAUAGGCAUGCGUCCCAUUAGCUAGUUGGUGAGGUAACGGCUCACCAAGGCGACGAUGGUAGGGGAACUGAGAGGUUGAACCCCCACACUGGUACUGAAACACGGACCAGACUCCUACGGGAGGCAGCAGUGAGGAAUAUUGGUCAAUGGGCGAGAGCCUGAACCAGCCAAGUCGCGUGAAGGAUGACUGUCUUAUGGAUUGUAAACUUCUUUUAUACGGGAAUAACAAGAGCCACGUGUGGCUCCCUGCAUGUACCGUAUGAAUAAGCAUCGGCUAACUCCGGGCCAGCAGCCGCGGUAAUACGGAGGAUGCGAGCGUUAUCCGGAUUUAUUGGGUUUAAAGGGUGCGUAGGCGGCCUGUUAAGUCUGCGGUGAAAUCUAGGAGCUUAACUCCUAAAUUGCCAUUGAUACUGGCGGGCUUGAGUGUAGAUGAGGUAGGCGGAAUGCGUGGUGUAGCGGUGGAAUGCAUAGAUAUCACGCAGAACUCCGAUUGCGAAGGCAGCUUACUAAGGUACAACUGACGCUGAAGCACGAAAGCGUGGGUAUCAAACAGGAUUAGAUACCCUGGUAGUCCACGCAGUAAACGAUGAUAACUGGGCGUAUGCGAUAUACAGUAUGCUCCUAAGCGAAAGCGUUAAGUUAUCCACCUGGGGAGUACGCCGGCAACGGUGAAACUCAAAGGAAUUGACGGGGGCCCGCACAAGCGGAGGAACAUGUGGU